rfam:Acidianus manzaensis strain YN-25, complete genome.
GCGGGAGUGCCCGAGCUAGGCCAAAGGGGGUAGGCUUAGGCCCUACUGGCGAAGGCCUGCGUGGGUUCAAGUCCCAUCUCCCGCA